GAAUAAACUCAUCGACUCCAGUUGGAUUAAUUCUCUGCACAGGAAGAAAUGAGUAAGUACCAUCCCUUGAUAAUGAAAGACUAUCUCACCCGUAGUCCCGGUGUUACGCUUUACCAGGCGGCCCUGUUAACUGGCUACUUUUCACCAAUGAAGCAUCCCAUCACAAAGGGACUGAGGAUAAAGUGAUGACAUUUUGGACAGACAGGGAUGUAAAUUGCAGCACACAUGUAAGUUGAC